UACAGAGGGGGCAAGCGUUGUUCGGAAUUACUGGGCGUAAAGGGCGCGUAGGCGGCCUUCUAAGUCGAACGUGAAAUCCCCGGGCUCAACCCGGGAACUGCGUCCGAUACUGGAAGGCUUGAAUCCGGGAGAGGGAUGCGGAAUUCCAGGUGUAGCGGUGAAAUGCGUAGAUAUCUGGAGGAACACCGGUGGCGAAGGCGGCAUCCUGGACCGGUUCUGACGCUGAUGCGCGAAAGCGUGGGUAGCAAACAGG
rnacentral:rRNA from 1 species